UGCAGUAGACAGGUUAGGCUGGGCUGGGAGGUGACUGCAGUAGACAGGUUAGGCUGGGCUGGGAGGUGACAGCAGUAGACAGGUUAGGCUGGGCUGGGAGGUGACAGCAGUAGACAGGUUAGACAGGUUAGGCUGGGCUGGGAGGUGACUGCAGUAGACAGGUUAGGCUGGGCUGGGAGGUGACAGCAGUAGACAGGUUAGGCUGGGCUGGGAGGUGACAGCAGUAGACAGGUUAGACAGGUUAGGCUGGGCUGGGAGGUGACAGCAGUAGACAGGUUAGACAGGGCUGGGAGGUGACUGCAGUAGACAGGUUAGGCUGGGCUGGGAGGUGACAGCAGUAGACAGGUUAGACAGGUUAGGCUGGGCUGGGAGGUGACUGCAGUAGACAUGUUAGGCUGGGCUGGGAGGUGACAGCAGUAGACAGGCUGGGUUGGGAGGUGACAGCAGUAGGCAGGUUAGGCUGGGCUGGGAGGUGACUGCAGUAGACAGGUUAGGCUGGGCUGGGAGGUGACUGCAGUAGACAGGUUAGGCUGGGCUGGGAGGUGACUGCAGUAGACAGGUUAGGCUGGGCUGGGAGGUGACAGCAGUAGACAGGUUAGACAGGUUAGGCUGGGCUGGGAGGUGACAGCAGUAGACAGGUUAGACAGGUUAGGCUGGGCUGGGAGGUGACAGCAGUAGACAGGUUAGGCUGGGCUGGGAGGUGACAGCAGUAGACAGGUUAGACAGGUUAGGCUGGGUUGGGAGGUGACUGCAGUAGACAGGGCUGGGAGGUGACUGCAGUAGACCGGUUAGGCUGGGC